GUCUUCCUGUGGCACAAUGGGUUGGGGCAUCUGGCUGUUAAUCAGAAGGUUGGUGGUUUGUUAACCAGGAGGUUCGUGGUUUGAGCCCACCCAGGGAUG